GAGCAAGAGCAUCUAUUGCAAAGAUAAAUGAUGUAUCUUGCGUUGAAGGUUGCCAAAAUUAACUCCACUAGAGAUUCUCCGUGCCUAAUGAAUUAAUUUUAUGCUGUUUUGAUAAUGACCUCGAACAAGUCGCAACAGC